rnacentral:rRNA from 1 species
GACGAACGCUGGCGGUGUGCUUAACACAUGCAAGUCGAACGGCAAGGCCCUGCUAUUGUGGGGUGCUCGAGUGGCGAACGGGUGAGUAACACGAGAGUAACCUGACCUUGACUUUGGGAUAACUUCAGGAAACUGGGGUUAAUAUCGGACAGGAGACCCUGCUGCAUGGUGGGGGUUGGAACGUUUCGGCGGUUGGGGAUGGACUCGCGGCUUAUCAGCUUGUUGGUGGGGUAGUGGCUUACCAAGGCUUUGACGGGUAGCCGGCCUGAGAGGGUGACCGGCGACAUUAGGACUGAGAUACGGCCCAGACUCCUACAGGGGGCAGCAGUGGGGAAUAUUGCACAAUGGGCGGAAGCCGGUGGCGGCGACGCCGCGUGCGGAAUGACGUCCUUCGGGUUGAGAACCGCUUUCGCCUAUGACGAAGCGUGAGUGACGGUAAUGAAUGAAGAAGCACCGGCUAACUACGUG